AGGACGAACGCUGGCGGCGUGUCUAACACAUGCAAGUCGAACGAGGUCCAACCGGUGGCAACACUGGUGAAGACCGAGUGGCGAACGGGUGAGUAACACGUGAGCAACCUGCCCCUGGCUCUGGGAUAGCCUCCGGAAACGGGGAUUAAUACCGGACAUUCUCCGCCUUCCGCAUGGUUGGCGGUGGAAAGUUUUUUCGGCCGGGGAGGGGCUCGCGGCCUAUCAGCUUGUUGGCGGGGUAACGGCCCACCAAGGCGACGACGGGUA
rnacentral:rRNA from 1 species